AGCAGCGUGGCUCACUGGAAAGAGCAUGGGCCUGGGAGUCUAGAGGUCAUGGGUUCAAAUCCCGGCUCUGCCA
rnacentral:tRNA from 1 species